rnacentral:rRNA from 1 species
GAUGAACGCUGGCGGCGUGCCUAAUACAUGCAAGUCGAGCGAACAGACGAGGAGCUUGCUCCUCUGACGUUAGCGGCGGACGGGUGAGUAACACGUGGAUAACCUACCUAUAAGACUGGGAUAACUUCGGGAAACCGGAGCUAAUACCGGAUAAUAUAUUGUACCGCAUGGUUCAAUAGUGAAAGACGGUUUUGCUGUCACUUAUAGAUGGAUCCCCGCCGCAUUAGCUAGUUGGUAAGGUAACGGCUUACCAAGGCGACGAUGCGUAGCCGACCUGAGAGGGUGAUCGGCCACACUGGAACUGAGACACGGUCCAGACUCCUACGGGAGGCAGCAGUAGGGAAUCUUCCGCAAUGGGCGAAAGCCUGACGGAGCAACGCCGCGUGAGUGAGGAAGGUCUUCGGAUCGUAAAACUCUGUUAUUAGGGAAGAACAAAUGUGUAAGUAACUAUGCACGUCUUGACGGUACCUAAUCAGAAAGCCACGGCUAACUACGUG